rnacentral:rRNA from 1 species
CCCUUUGGUUCGGAACAACUCAGGGAAACUUGUGCUAAUACCGGAUGUGCCCUUCGGGGGAAAGAUUUAUCGCCAUUGGAGCGGCCCGCGUCUGAUUAGCUAGUUGGUGAGGUAAAGGCUCACCAAGGCGACGAUCAGUAGCUGGUCUGAGAGGAUGAUCAGCCNNNNNNNGACUGAGACACGGCCCAAACUCCUACGGGAGGCAGCAGUGGGGAAUCUUGCGCAAUGGGCGAAAGCCUGACGCAGCCAUGCCGCGUGAAUGAUGAAGGUCUUAGGAUUGUAAAAUUCUUUCACCGGGGACGAUAAUGACGGUACCCGGAGAAGAAGCCCCGGCUAACUUCGUGCCAGCAGCCGCGGUAAUACGAAGGGGGCUAGCGUUGCUCGGAAUUACUGGGCGUAAAGGGAGCGUAGGCGGACUGUUAAGUUAGAGGUGAAAGCCCAGGGCUCAACCUUGGAAUUGCCUUUGAUACUGGCAGUCUUGAGUACGGAAGAGGUAUGUGGAACUCCGAGUGUAGAGGUGAAAUUCGUAGAUAUUCGGAAGAACACCAGUGGCGAAGGCGACAUACUGGUCCGUUACUGACGCUGAGGCUCGAAAGCGUGGGGAGCAAACAGG